CGGAAAAAUGGGGGGAAGAGCUGCCUAACCCGUUUUUAGAGAGAAAUUGACCCAUAAACCCACAAAACUUGACCCGCUUGUAUAUUUUUCAUUCGAACUCCGUUUUGGAUGAUCUUGGUGUCCAUGGAAAGCUAUUGACGAGCCCUACAUCUCUGUGAUGUUAGAUUUUCCCUUUUCAUUUCCAUCCUUACAGUUCGAGGUCUCAAAGUUCACGACUUUUCCGGCGGUUUUAUCAUUUUUCCGGCGAUUCCGGCAAUGAUUUCCUUCGAGUGAGGUGGAUUGGAACUGAGUUCUACUUGGAUUUCGUUGAGCGAUGGUCCGGAAUCCCCUUUGGAGCCUUGGUCUGUUGGGUGGUCCAAAAUCCCUUUUUCCAAAGAUGUAGUCUUCAACUGAAUUGUGUUGCUCUAGCCUUGCGUUCGACUUGUGGUAUGUGUUAUUGAUUGAUGUGAUUAUGGAAUGACAUUGGAUGUGAGUGGAGUUAUCAUGAGUAUUUUAGUUGAUUAAUAUUUCUAAAGAAUAAUAUGUACUUUGUUAAUUCUUAAAUAUGUUACACGCUAUGAAACGCGAAUUUAUGUGGGAAACGUGAUGAGUUAUGUGAUGGAUGAAGUGGAAAUGUUAAUCGUCAUGUAGGAUUGUUAUGUUGGAUA